UAAAAGCAGUGUUUUCACGCCCGACCCGAACCGUCCGGUCCGACCGGUUAACCCGUGACCCGAACACUUUUCCGGUUUGGGUUUAGUGCUAAAACCCAACAAGUUCAAAACCGAAAAAACCCACAAAAACUCGCAAUUAACUCGUGACCCGGUGAACCGGUUGAACCGGCCGGGUGUGGGUUUUAAAAAGUUCUCUUGAUUUUAU
rnacentral:sRNA from 1 species